rnacentral:lncRNA from 1 species
CCGGAGUACCAAAAUUCCCCAGUAGCAGCCGCCGCCGCCGCCGCCGCCGAUUCACCAACCCUUCUCCUCCAUCGGCAUGUCGCGGGGGGGAGGCCGGCUGCCCCCGCGCUUCUCUCUACCCAGCUGUACCUGUACCUGUACGCCCCCCACAAUCCCAGUCGCCUCGCUUCCUUCACAUUUUCUGGGUGCCAAGCUGCUACGAUUAGUUUUUGCUGUGCUCUGUUUUUUUUUUUCUCUCUCAAUGAUUCAAUGUAUGCGGGAAUACAUCAGUCAUGGUUGAAUUUAUGGUGAAAUUAAUGGGGUUUUGAACUAUUUGGUUCGUCUAAUCGUCCGUAGGACCAAGUAAUUUGGUAGAACAAAUGGAAUCUUUUUAGAGCAUCCCCAAGAACGCCCGAUCCUGCACAUUACUGUAGAGACGCGUCUAAUUAAGUGGCCAACUUACUUACGGAGUACAUCUCGAUCUCGAUGAAAGAGGUUGCCAAGUUAUUCUGUGAAUAUUAAUUUUGUGUAUUUUCUGUUCUUUUCCUUUCCAAUAGAAAAAAGGAGGUGUUUUUUUAUAGAUGUGAAAUAUGCUGGUAAGAACAUAUGUACACUCUUUCAGUAUAAGAACAUAUAAGAAGUAGCCAAGGAUUAUUUGAUUCCAAAUUUCCAAUUGCAGGAUCAUGUGGUUGUAGAGGAGAUAAUAUUACUUCAUGAUCAAACAUAUUUAAAGUCAUCUAUUUCAGUAAGAAAAUGUUUGACUCAAACAGAUUCAGAGGCUCAGAGCUCAUUGUAUCAUAAUCUUUCAUACGUAUGUAAACAUUAUUUGUUGCAGGCAGGCAUGAGUGCCCUGAAUAACAUGACUCAUAUCAUGCUUUAAGCCUUUAACACGAAGCCCUAUAUCGAAGAAGUAUCAGUCUAAAGAAUGCUAUUGCUUCAAAUUACAAUCUGUUGUUUAUUAACAGGAAUGCUUCUAUCAUGCGAGUGAACUGAUAUAGGACGAAGGGUCAGGAGGCGUUGGGAUUUGUACUGCUCC